GUUUAGCCCUGAUAGCAGCGGCAUCCUUUUUUGAAUGUAUUGAUGCACCUGCUAUUUACUAAAAGAAUUUGCUUUAAAAAAUGAACAAUAAGCUCGAGGUUGGUCUACAAAAAAGAUAUAGCGAAUAGCAGGUAAUAGC
rnacentral:sRNA from 2 species